AUGCCCAGCGAGGAGGGAGGCGAGAGAGGGAGAGAGAUAGUAAAGCUCUGUCUCGGUGUGCGCGCCGGCGCGCCGCGCUCGAUCUCCCCGGGGCACGCGCGUGAGAGGUGCGCGUCCCCGAGCUCGCGCCCGCACGACGGCCUCGCGCGUGCUCGUGGGCGCGCGCACCCGCCGCCAGCACUCGGCGCGGUGCGCCGGGCAGCCAGCCCGCGGCUUUUGCGCGCCGCGCGGUCGGGGCGCCUUGGAGUUCUGACUCCCGAGGGCGGCACGGACUUUGCGCAGCGGGAGAGCUGUCAUUUCAGCACCAGGAUUCAGAAUUGAUCCAGUCCGCUGCAGAGGGGGGCAUAUCUCAGCUCGGGUCUCGCCUGGAACAAUAGUAGUUUUUCUCAGCAAGGCUGCAAUUAACAUCUUAUUUGUUCAGGCUCGGUACAGGCUUUGUCGGGACUGCGGUGAGGCAACCGAGGUUGGGAAUCUUGCAUUGCUUUCUGCAUGGCAAUGGGAUCGUGGUUGUGGGGUCAAAACUUUUGUUUUGUUUUGUGGUCUUAGUGUAUCUUUUUCUUUUUCAAGUUUCCCUACUAACAAGUUUGGGGGGAAUGGGUGGGAAGAAACCCGGGAAAAGCAAGAGAAGGGCCUGAUUCUCCAUGUAAGAAGGAAGGAAGAGAUUAAUUUCCACACCCUCCCCUUUUAUUUAUUUAUUUACUUAUUUAGGCUCCUAAACAGUAGGCUAAUGAAUUAUUUGAUGAACUAGCUUCAAAAAUAGGAUGCAAAAAUGUCAUUUGACUCCUUACUAUGUCUCUACUUGUAGACUCAGUUGGUGGUUUGCAAAACAAGUGCUAAAAUAGUGCAGUGAUGUGGUGGGAGGAGACCAUAAAGGGUAAUUCAUUUCAAGUGUGGAGCCUUCCUAAGGGUAAGUUGCAUGAGCGACAGGUGAAGUUGAAUAAAGCAAUUUCCCAUCAUUUUGUCUCCUCACUCUUCUGUAUUUUUAUUCCUCUUUUUGUUCCUCUCCCCUGGGUCGAUUGUGUAGCCAAGAACAAGAUAUUUUUUAAAAGGUUAGAGUGAAAACAGGUGAUCUUUUAUUCACCAGAGUUGUUUGAAAUAUUAAAAUUGGCUCUUUACUUCUUAAUACAUAUUAAUAGAAUGACCCUCUUCAAUGCUUUCUCUUCUAGGAUGAAUGUUUAAAGUAAAACCCUGUAAGGGAAACCGUAAUCAUUCCCCAGCUGGCUUUAAGGGUGUUUGCAGGAACAAAUCACCAGUGAGAGAAACUUGAGUGGCAUUUUGUUUUGUGUCAUUUUUGGUUCAUUACCACAAUUUUUUAUCCAUUGAAACAAAUGUACAAAGAAAAUAUGGUUUAUAUAUUCAGGGCAAAAUCCAAAACACUGUAAAACAUACACAUUUU
rnacentral:lncRNA from 1 species